GUGGGGAAUUUUGGACAAUGGGCGCAAGCCUGAUCCAGCAAUGCCGCGUGCAGGAAGAAGGCCUUCGGGUUGUAAACUGCUUUUGUACGGAACGAAACGGUCCUGGCUAAUACCUGGGGCUAAUGACGGUACCGUAAGAAUAAGCACCGGCUAACUACGUGCCAGCAGCCGCGGUAAUACGUAGGGUGCGAGCGUUAAUCGGAAUUACUGGGCGUAAAGCGUGCGCAGGCGGUGCUGUAAGACAGGCGUGAAAUCCCCGGGCUCAACCUGGGAAUUGCGCUUGUGACUGCAGUGCUGGAGUGCGGCAGAGGGGGAUGGAAUUCCGCGUGUAGCAGUGAAAUGCGUAGAUAUGCGGAGGAACACCGAUGGCGAAGGCAAUCCCCUGGGCCUGCACUGACGCUCAUGCACGAAAGCGUGGGGAGCAAACAGGAUUAGAAACCCGUGUAGUCC
rnacentral:rRNA from 1 species